CUGCCUGCGUAUGGUUUUCCAGAACUCACCUGGAGCUUAAAAUCCUGCCCAAAAUCUCCGACCAUCCUGAUUCUGCGAACCGAGUUGAAAUCCACCCAGAACCAAAGAACCCCAAAUUGCUCAAGCCAUAAGCUCUCAAAAGGGUGGAGGCAAAAAUCUGGAAAGCUCCCAACUUUCAGUUCAUCAAGCAGAAAGCUUCGGAUGCAGAAAAAUGGGGAAAUGGCGGAAACUAAAAAGAAGCAAGCUUUCACAUCCAAAAUGUGAAAUGGGAAAGAACCCGUGCUGCCGCCAUUAAAGGGUAUUACCAGAAUCUGAAGCAGGUGUCGGCCUCUGGUCCACUUGAAUCAAAACUCCAGCAAUUCAACUGUCUGCCAUGGAAUUCACGAGGAGGGUUGUUUUUCUUUUUACUUUUGGGGUUGAAAGGGAUUGAAGGGGCUAAGCUUAAGUUGAAGUUUUCCAGAUGGGAGACAGAGAGUUGUGGCUUUCAGAAGUGAGAGUGGAGAGGGAGAGAGAGAGUGAGAUCUGCAGAGGAAACAGAGAGCAACAGCGCCAAUAAAGCGGUGUUGUCCGUUUG
rnacentral:lncRNA from 1 species